AAGAAAAAAGAAAAAAAAGAAAAAACCUAUGAUGUUUUAAAUUUUGGAGGCUGGGGACCACUCUUGAGCGGCUACCCAGAAAAGCAAAGGAAAGCAAACAGAAAGGCUAAUUCAGUAUCGAGUAUCAGAUGUACACUGGCAUUCCCAAAAUUGUUUUUACUGCCUUUCCAACACCAUGUAAACUUUUUUUGCUUGUUUUCAAAGUUGGCAAUUUUAUAAACAAAAGGCAAUACAAGUCUGUCAAGGCAAUGCAUUCACCCUCCAGAUGUCUACAGACCCAGGCAAACACAAUUGAAGAUGCCUGUUAAGCAAAGAAAGAUUAAUUGGAGACUAAUCCUCAGGGGCAAGAACAGUAUUAAUUUCAAAUUUCUAUUGAGAAAUCAUCUGGUACAGUAAGAAUGACACAGAUGGACCAAUUCAUGGUCCAAGGCCUGACCUGGAUUAAGCACAAAUUAUUUUGGAAAGCUGCGGAUUUAUGUUAUAGGCCUGGCCUGGAGAUGUAACAAAUAUUAUAAUUUAUUUUUAUAUAAUAUUAAAAGUAUCAAGAUUCACUCACCCUCUAAUUGCUAGCACUAAGCUAGCAAGCACUUUUCAAUCACUUUUCUUUCUAUAUAGUAAACCUCAUAAGCCUAGACUUCCCAGCAUAAAUAUUGCUUUUUUGUUUGAGUGUGCCACCUCCCCUCCCUUCACAUUUCUCUCUCACUGCAUCUCUCUAUCUCACUGAGUCAACCUUAGAAAAGCAAACCUGGAUGUUCUACCAAGACAUUAUGUAAGAUUAUGCACUUACAAUAGGAUCCAUCGUAUUUGUUUUUUUCUUUGUAAUUUUCUUCCUGAUUUUUCUACAAUGAUGGGUCUUUGAUUGAACUAUUUUUUACACUCAAAGUUCAUCUUUUGUUCUUUGACAUGUUGGAAACAGGAAGCAUGUUAACCCAUCUGGGUGCUCUUCAUAUUUGGAUACUUCAAGAGUCCCAACAGCUCCUGAAGUGGCCUGUGUUGGAUGUCGAAGGUGAAAUUCGCUACAAUCCCAGGCUGGGUCACAUUGGGCCCAGGCUCUCAUAAAAGGAACAGGCUCAGCCCUAGGCCUAGACAACUAGUUAGGCCUAAAUUAACAGGUCAGCCUCAGGCUUAGAUCAAUAAAAUUUUUUGCCUGGACUGAGCCAGCCCAACCCAUGAGUUAUCCAGGUCUAGACACAUAAUGCAGCUAGUGAUUCAGUAAAGCAAAUACAAUUGCUGAAUGAAUCAAUCACAGUUAAUCGAAAAGAACAGCGUGUAAGUCUCAAUGUUCAUAACACGUACUUCAUUGCAACAUGAAGAUUAUUCUUAUCUACAAAAAUGAAAGAAAAAAAUGAUGAAAAUUUAUACCUCAGCUGAGACAGAAGAUGAGGCUUGUUGCAUUGAAGAGCCACCACUGUCCAAAAUAGCCAGCUUGGCGUCAAGUUAUCAAUACCCACAAAGGAUGUUAAAUUUUUUUAAAAUAGCAAAAAAAUAAAUAUUCUGCAAGUUUCAUGAAACAACUACAGGUUUCUGUAUUUUCAUACUGCUUUCGCAUUCUUAAAUAAGCUUUAAAAUUUAACAUUCAAGGGAAAACUCCAGAUGUUCCAUUCAGACUGACUUUCCCUUAUUGCUCAGAUUAAAAUUGUAAAGGUCGCUGACCCCAACUCAUGACUGUUAACAAUUUUCAAAUGUCAUAUACACACAAUAUAUUUGAUACAACAUAGUUUUCCUAGCCAUGGCCACAGCAUACCUACAUAAACAACCAAGAGGCAAAAUGCAUAUCCAACCCCUUUCGCCUUUUCUAUAAUGACAUCUAAUUUGGUUCUUCCUUGUUCUUUGCAACCAUCAAUAACAUUAUCACAGAAACAGUACAAGAAACAAAAUUAGUAAUCUAUUUUUUUCCAUAUGAGAUUUGUCUGAUGAUAGUAACAUAAAGGAAUAGUUGAAACUAGCCACAGCAGUGAUGAAUUUAGAAGCGUAAAAAAAAAAUUCCCAAGUACCAGAGAAUUUAAGGUUUGUUCAUAGUUUACUUCGAAAAUGAAGAAAUCCAGGUGAAAAAAUGUGAAAUUUGCCAAUACUUAGUCAUACAAAGGAAACGAUGCACAAGGAACCAAUUACACAAAGGACACCAAUUCCAAAAAGGACGCAAGGUGGACUCAAAGUUUCCAUUAACACCAGCAAACAAAGAAGCAGGAUUGAAGCACACACAAUAUCAAAUGAAACCUAAAAACUUACCUUGGAAGAGCAGUGACCUUGUACUUGUGAACUGGAAGAGCAUUUAUUUCUUCCUCGCUCAUGGAUGCAGUGGUGGGAACAUUAUCAGAAUCCAAUGCUCUCAAAGUCUCAUAAUCUGCAGAUAAACAAGUUUACACGAGUAAUCCUUUCUAACAAAUUCCAAAUGAAUAACAUGCCAUAAAAGGACAUAAAAUGAAAACUAAACAUCAUGUAGCAAUUGACAAUCAUAUCUCACUAUCACUCAUUGAAACUAAAGAUUGGCACUUUGAAACACAUUAUAUCCCUGAAUACAGCACCUAGGUCAUCAAAUUCCCGGUCCAGAAGUGCAAGUUGGAGUCUGAGGCCUUGUAAACGUCCCCUGGUUGCAAGUGCUAUGGAUGGUGGCAUAUGCAAACGUAACUCAGUAUGACUAAGAAGACCACUGGCCAUGGCAGCAUGGGCUUGAGCCUGAGCUUGAAGUUGUUGACAA
rnacentral:misc_RNA from 1 species